rnacentral:rRNA from 1 species
GUCUUUUUGAAAUAAAUUUAAAGUCUGCCCUGCCCACUGAUAAUAUUAAAGGGCCGCGGUAUUUUGACCGUGCAAAGGUAGCAUAAUCAUUAGUUUUUUAAUUGAAAGCUUGUAUGAAUGGUUGGACGAAAUAUUUACUGUCUCAUAAAAAUUUAUAUUAGAAAUUAAUUUUUUUGUUAAAAAGCAAAAAUAAUAUUAGAGGACGAGAAGUCCCUAUAGAGCUUUAUAAUUUUAUUAUUUAAUUUUUCAAGAAAAUUUUGAAUUUUAUAAAAAUAAUUAUUUUGUUGGGGUGACAGUAAAAUUUAUAAAACUUUUAUUAUAAUAUUACAUUGAUUAAUGAAUAUUUGAUCCAUUAUUAAUGAUUAAAAAAUUAAGUUACCUUAGGGAUAACAGCGUAAUUUUUUUUAAGAGUUCAUAUCGACAAAAAAGAUUGCGACCUCGAUGUUGGAUUAAGAAUUAUUUUUAGGUGUAGAAGUUUAAA